AAGGUAGCUUGCUACUGGACCUAGCGGCGGACGGGUGAGUAAUGCUUAGGAAUCUGCCUAUUAGUGGGGGACAACAUUCCGAAAGGAAUGCUAAUACCGCAUACGCCCUACGGGGGAAAGCAGGGGAUCUUCGGACCUUGCGCUAAUAGAUGAGCCUAAGUCGGAUUAGCUAGUUGGUGGGGUAAAGGCCUAUCAAGGCGACGAUCUGUAGCGGGUCUGAGAGGAUGAUCCGCCACACUGGGACUGAGACACGGCCCAGACUCCUACGGGAGGCAGCAGUGGGGAAUAUUGGACAAUGGGCGGAAGCCUGAUCCAGCCAUGCCGCGUGUGUGAAGAAGGCCUUUUGGUUGUAAAGCACUUUAAGCGAGGAGGAGGCUCCUUUAGUUAAUACCUAAAGUGAGUGGACGUUACUCGCAGAAUAAGCACCGGCUAACUCUGUGCCAGCAGCCGCGGUAAUACAGAGGGUGCGAGCGUUAAUCGGAUUUACUGGGCGUAAAGCGUGCGUAGGCGGCUUUUUAAGUCGGAUGUGAAAUCCCUGAGCUUAACUUAGGAAUUGCAUUCGAUACUGGAAAGCUAGAGUAUGGGAGAGGAUGGUAGAAUUCCAGGUGUAGCGGUGAAAUGCGUAGAGAUCUGGAGGAAUACCGAUGGCGAAGGCAGCCAUCUGGCCUAAUACUGACGCUGAGGUACGAAAGCAUGGGGAGCAAACAGGAUUAGAUACCCUGGUAGUCCAUGCCGUAAACGAUGUCUACUAGCCGUUGGGGCCUUUGAGGCUUUAGUGGCGCAGCU
rnacentral:rRNA from 1 species